UGGGUCGCGAACAAGAAGCAGGAAGGAGAGGAAACCCUUCUCCUUCAUAAUACCUCAAGAAUUUCAUAAAUUAAAGGUGUUGUUGAUCCAAAAAUCGAAUGCAUGAGGCUAAUUCUUCGCUAAUCUAAGCAUAUUGAACAUAAGGAGUCAUGUCAAUAGAGGCACAAAUAUGGAAGCGCUACGGGUCGAAGGUAAACACGGAAGCUAUGUGUAAAUUCGGACGCACGAGGUAAGUAAACUCCUGGACUCCAUCUUUAAUAGUAAUGGAAUUAAUUGUAUGAUAAUCGUUAAAGGUUAUGUUGAAAUUUGUUAUUGAAGAAGAUAUCGAAUGAGUAGUAUUAAGUAAGUGAUUUCCGCAAUCACUUCUUAGUUGUUUACGUAGAGUUAUGUGCUAGUUAAUUAAGCAUAAUAAUUGAGACAAAUAAUGGAUGGGUUGUAUGAAACCAAUGAUUUUCGCUAAGUAGAUGUAACGGGUCAAAAAUGAGGUCUUGAUGUUAUAAUGGAAUGAAGAAUAAGAAAUGUCUACGGUAUGAUAACCGGGUAACGGGUAGGAUCGCGCAUAAGCACGUUAAUGGGUAAGUGGAAGUAUGGAUAAUGUAAAAGUUUUAUGGCUAUAAUGUUCUUGUAAGUUUUAGGCUAAUCGAAUGUGUUGUUUGAUAAAAACCAUGAGCGGGUCGUAUAAUUCGUAGAUGAAUAAUAAGCCGAAGACGUAUAAGUUAAGAAUUUCCUUAACCCGGAUGUUGGAUUUCAAGUUCACAUGAUAGAAUGUUAAUUUACAAUCAUGUAGAAAGAAACGUGACGCAAAACGGAUGAAAAAUGAGAGAGUUAUGUCCGUUUCGGUAAGAAUUAAUGGCUAGGAAAAGUGCAGAGCUGACACGGCCGGGUGGUGAGCUGACACGGCCGGGUGAAGGUUCUGUCGAAAAAUAUUAUUUAUGUGAUUUAUGCAUCGUAGGCUUCGGUAUAUUAUCCAUGGACUACGGUGGGCCUCCCAAACAUGAUUUCGAGUGUUCCCUUAACGAUUAUAAGUUGUAAACCCAAGUCUAAGCCUCAUGUAAUUUAUAUAAGAGUAUGAUAGAUGUAUGUAAUGAAGUUGGACAUGUAUUACAUGUAAAUGGUAUACAAGAAUGCGUACGGAACACGUAGGUAUGAAUACAUGAUUGUAGGUAUGAUUGAAUGUAUAUAGGUAUGUAGAUGUGUAUGAUUGUAGGUAUGUAUGUGUGCAAGUAUGUGCGAAUGCAUGAUUUGGAUGCAUUUGAGAAUUAACGUUACUAACAAUGCCCUUGAGUUUGGGAUGUAAUGCAGGAAUGAGAAUGUCGGAUUCUUAUGAAGUUGAAGCCGAACUCGGAACAAGAGACUUAGAGAGAAUAGUCGAAUGAAUCGAAGCUAUAUUGUCGAAUAUUAUACGAAAGUUAAUUGUGUGAGAAUAGUGUUAUAUGAGGUUGUCAAUGACUAAUGAUUAAGUUGUAUGUGAUGUUCAGAGGUACCAUACGGACUUCUUCUUCUACUAACGAAGAUGAGCGGACGAAGAUCGAGUCAAGAGCAAGGAUUGUAAGGGAAGGAUCGAUCACAUAAUUUAACAAAUGUAGGUCCGAAGUAUUAAUAUAAUGGAACGUGGUAAUCCUUUUUAAUGAGUGUAUGACAUUUGGUAUUCGAACUUUCCUGUAAGUACUAUGUCUAUUAAAGAACGAAAUUUUGGGUUCA